ensembl:snRNA U5 U5 spliceosomal RNA
UAGCUUGGGUUGCUCUUCAUUCACGCACAAAUCUUUCACCUUUUACUAAAGAUUUCCGUGGAGGGGAACAUUAACGAGUUCUUCUUAUUUUUGAAGGCUCUGUUACGGCAGAGCU